GCUCCCAUGGCUCAGCUGGUAGAGCAACUGAUUCGUAAUCAGUAGGUCGGAGGUUCGAAUCCUCUUGGGAGCACCA
rnacentral:tRNA from 1 species